rnacentral:rRNA from 1 species
AUUGAACGCUGGCGGCAGGCCUAACACAUGCAAGUCGAGCGAGCGGCGGACGGGUGAGUAAUGUAUGGGGUUCUGCCCGAUAGAGGGGGAUAACUCCUGGAAACUGUAGCUAAUACCGCGUACCAUAGGAUGCGCCCAAGUGGGAUUAGGUAGUUGGUGAGGUAAAGGCGCACCAAGACGACGAUCUCUAGCUGGUCUGAGAGGAUGACCAGCCAAACAGGGACUGAGACAAGGGCCAGAAUCAAACGCGUGGCAGCAGUGGGGAAUAGUGCGCGAUGGGGGCAAGCUGACGCAGCCAUGACGAGGGAAUGAAGAGGGCCUUCGGGUUGUAAAGUACUUUCGGAAGCGAGGCGUUAACUACAGAAGAAGCACCGGCGAACUCCGUGCCAGCAGCCGCGGUAAUUC